UCCAUAGGUGUCGAGAAGCCACUGCUGCUUAUCAGCGUUGCCAUGACAACCACUGGGCACAUGAAUAACUUGACAGAGGUGAAAGGUCAUUUCAGACACUGUUAAAUGUAUGUAGUAAAACCUCUUAUGUGCCUGGACUAUGUUCUUGAGAUGCACUGGAUGGCUGGUUUGAAGGGUCCACAUCAUUCACCGACCCAAGGUUGAGAGGAGCAGGUGUUUCUCCCUGCACUUCCGUGGUGGGAGGGGGACCACUGCCCGUGAGCCCCAGCUCCCUGGGGCGGGGCAGUUACAGAAUGUCAGGCAGCAGGUUUGCCAUCACACACCUGACAACACACAGCGAUGGAGCUGAGUGGACUGUGGUGCACAGUGAGAUGGGAAAGACUGAGAGAAGAUCUGGGUUUGCAAAGUUGGCAGGACAAGUAUCAUUUCCAUCUAGCGCCUGAGGAGAUGGAGCUCUUCCCAAGUAAACUGCAGCACUCCUAUCAGAGGAUGGUCUUCUGAUCCCCAGCCUUCACUGGGGGCCGCUUGUGAGACAGUCAAUUUAGACAACGAAUGCAUGUAUGUCUGGAUCCCAUCUGUCAUGUCGAUCUUUUAUUUCAUCCUCCUGUCUUCCUUAGAGAAAGGUAAAUGAAAGUCGUUGUCUUCCCAGACCCGGCAUGUUUGGCUAGCUGGAAGUCGGUCGCCUUCUUGGGAACAUCUUAAGAACAGGAAGCAGUAAGGUAGGCCGGGAAGCAACGGUGGGCUGUGCUGUUCACCUCUACCCGUUUUGUAAAUAGCUCUGCGGGUCUGGGUGAUGUUUAGGUCUGUGAGUGCCUGGGCUCCUGACUACCCAGUGCGAGCUCUCAGAGGGACCCAUUGGCUGAGCACAGCUUUCGCCACCACUGGGAGGUGGCUCACAGAUGUGUGCUGUGUUUAAGGAGAAUUCUACUGUGCAAUUGUAUGACCUUCUAUUUACACAUUAUUGGACUGAAGGAAUCCCUGAAUUUUUAAAAUUAAAGUUUUACUAUAAUGUUUUCAAGGACAUUCUGUGUAUAUUCCAAAGUCUAGCAUUGGUCCUUCUGUAUAGGAGGUUAUAACUACUUGCUGAACAAAGGAGGUGCAUAGAAGUAUUUUGUAUAUUAUGGACUGACACCCCAAAAGGCUUCCGCUCCACCGACCCAUGAAUAUCUGGGCCAUUUGUGCAGAUGCUGACUUCCAGCCAUUGAUUCAAUUUCAGAAGAAACACCAUUCUUGUCUAUACAUCAGUGUUUGUGAAAUCAUUUGAACACUUUAUCACAUUAGCCUUUACCAGAAGAGGAAACUGAGAAAAUGAUGGGAAUUAUUGAGUGCUAACAGUGGCAAACUUUCAUCUCAUGGUAUCUUUGACUCCUUGGAUUUAGGCUGGUCAACUCUGUGGACCAUUGUAGAGAAAAAGACAUUUUGUUAAAGAUUUCUGCCUAAAAUUUGAGGUGUAACUUGGGGUGCUAUAAUCUGGGACCUUUUAGAGAACUCCCUCCCCUCCCUUUACAACAUGCAAAUAUAGUUUGAUUUUUGUUCUUUUCAGUUUAUAAACAUUUCAGAAAUAUACUGUAUAAGAAAGUGAGUUAACUGUCAUUGUUUAGGGAGAUGACAAAUGUUUAUUAUAAAGAUCUUUAAAUGGUGUUUAUUAAAGAGUAAUUGAACAGUUUUUCCAAAUUAUAGAAACAGCUUUUUAUGGAUGUUGUGACUGGGUCUGGAUCUAAACCCGAGUCACAGAGACUGCGGUGUUGUUCGCAGGCAGCCACUAAUUGGGAGGGGCCCUCCAUCAGGUGGCUGGAAUGUUCUGGCUCUGAGUUACUCAACUGUACCCAGUGGAUGAUCUCUGUUCAGGGUUCUCUGCUGCUCUCAGGUAGACUGAAGUCCCAGGAAGGCCACCACCACUGACUUGUGGGAAAAGCUGUUUCAAAAGGGAUGGGUCGGGGGAGAAGCUGCUCAGGGGCACGCAAGAGAGGAGUGGUCCCAAAGUUUUUUUGUUGUUUUUGUUUUUUUGGUACGCGGGCCUCUCACUGCCGCGGCCCCUCCCGCGGCGGAGCACAGGCUCCAGACGCGCAGGCCCAGCGGCCAUGGCCCACGGGCCCAGCCGCUCCGCGACACGCGGGAUCCUCCCGGACCGGGGCACGAACCCGCGUCCCCCGCAUCGGCAGCCGGACUCCCAACCACUGCGCCACCAGGGAAGCCCCCAAGGUUUUUUAAUAAAAUUUGGAAGCGGUCUGGGGUGGAAGUCUUUGCCAUUUCUCGUUUAAAAUGACUGACCAUCACCAGGCAAAAUAAAAGACACUGCAAUUUAUAGUUUCAUGGUACCCUAUGGGAACUGACUGUAGUGGAUUCCUCUUUAUCUUCAUGCUAAAGAAAUUAGUUAUUUACGGUGAAGACUUCUCCAGAAAGCGGUGGUUCUGGGUAAAAAUCGUUUUACACGUCGGAAAACAUGCUUCUGAGGCAAUCUUCUGAAUUACUGGAAUAAAAGA